GCUGGGCCUGGUGGCACAUGCCUGUAAUCCCAGCAACUUGGGAGGCUGAGGCAGGAGGAUCGAAAGUCCAAGGCCAGCUUCAGCAAUUUAGCAAGAUCUUGUCUCAA
rnacentral:sRNA from 1 species